UGUGUAUAUACACCCAAAUUUAUGCAUUUUAAUUUUUUGGAAAAUUAUAAUCAGGCAUUGAAAUAUGAACAUCGUCAUUCUAAAAAUACAUGGAAUCACAAUAAUUAUUAAGUUAUUAGAUUGAAAGCUGACAGUUUACAACUGCUAAGGGCUUAAUGACUAUACAUCCCUAAUUGAACUUAAUAUCUUGUCUCUAGACUGAUGAAUUACUCUUUUUAAUCUAGCAGGACAAAUGAAAGUAUUACAUCUAUACGAGGACACUUUCUCCUUCAGGAGACGGACCGUACUGAUCAUCGAUCAGCACCGAGCUGACUGGAACAGAUAGAGGCCUGAUGAGAAAGAGAAAUUGUGAAAGAAAGUACCCUAAGAGCCGUACCUGCCCGGGCCAGAACCUGCAGAAGUCAAGGUUUCUCUGCAGCAAAAAAAAAUGGUGACUUGCUCCUACAUCCUACAACACUGAAACCAGGGAGCUGUAUAACCUUAUAUACUAAAACUCCACAUAAGGGAAGGUAGUCUGUCGGGAAAAGCUGCUCAUGAAUGUGCUAAUAGCACAUAUAUUGUGACCGUUGCUGACAAGGAUGAAGACCUCAACCCACCUUAGGAAGAUGAACAGUCUACAGUGGAGGAGCACAGCAGCUUCAGCUCAUUCUGCUCAGAGGCUGAGAUUCGCCAAGUUUAAGGUAAAUAUGACCAGCUGCACACUGACAGUGACACUGACACUGACAGUGAGUGAGAGAUGAGAGGACACACCCAACAUGCAAAUAGUGUGAACAACAUCAGGUAAAAACCCCUGCAUAAUUGCUCAGUAGACCCUGUUUAACUAAAGAGACAAACUGAGCAUGUGCAGUAAUGUAGUAGAUAGGCUUGACCUUAAGUAGUUGGCUUGACCUCAACUGUGGUUUGUAAUUAACUACAAUUUGUACAUUUUGCCAACACAAAUUAUUUAGUUUGGUCACUUUUUAACAAGAAACUUAAUAAUGGUAUUUGAAGUAAUUAGUUUGCUACAGUUUACGAUGCAUUUUAAUAUUUCUUGUUCAGCUGACUGAAAAAUCACUCUAAGAAGCACUUCAACGCUAAACAUCAAAGCUAGAUGAUGACUUGAAUCAGUUAAGUUUAUUUAACUUAACUGAGACCAAAGAGUUACUGUUCUAUAACACAUGUUAAGGUAAAUUUACUCAACUUAAUAAUAUUAGUCUUUCUGACUAAAACACAAGAUCACUCUUUUAGAUUGUGUGUUUUUCUGAUCAACAUAUCAGUUUCCUCAAAAGAAGGUCUUGUUAUUUGCCA
rnacentral:lncRNA from 1 species